rnacentral:rRNA from 1 species
GAUGAACGCUGGCGGCGUGCCUAAUACAUGCAAGUCGAGCGAACAGACGAGGAGCUUGCUCCUCUGACGUUAGCGGCGGACGGGUGAGUAACACGUGGAUAACCUACCUAUAAGACUGGGAUAACUUCGGGAAACCGGAGCUAAUACCGGAUAAUAUAUUGAACCGCAUGGUUCAAUAGUGAAAGACGGUUUUGCUGUCACUUCUAGAUGGAUCCGCGCCGCAUUAGCUAGUUGGUAAGUUAACGGCUUACCAAGGCAACGAUGCGUAGCCGACCUGAGAGGGGGAUCGGCCACACGGGAACUGAGACACGGUCCAGACUCCUGAGGGAGGCAGCAGUAGGGAAUCUUCCGCAAUGGGCGAAAGCCUGACGGAGCAACGCCGCGUGAGUGAUGAAGGUCUUCGGAUCGUAAAACUCUGUUAUUAGGGAAGAACAAAUGUGUAAGUAACUAUGCACGUCUUGACGGUACCUAAUCAGAAAGCCACGGCUAACUACGUG